CCGCUCCACUUGGGUGCUGAUGUCGGCGGGAAAGGAGAGAUCACCAGCGCAGAGGGAGCCUGCCGCUGGAUUAAAGUAUCUUAAGGGGUUUUAACCCCUUCAGUGCUAAGGGAGGGGGUCCUAAAGAUGAUAUAGUGUCAGGAAAACAAGUUUGUUUUCCUGACACUAUAGUGAUCCCUUAAUAACAUGCUAGUGUUUUUGAGAUGUAUUAAGAUCCAUCUAGAGAAAUGAAAUCAAG